rnacentral:lncRNA from 1 species
AUCGAAACAUUUAAUUCAACUGUCUGCUCUCUGGAUUAAGGGACGACAUCAAAAGUUCAAUGUAGGAUAAAAAAAAAAAACUUAAUUCACAUAACUUUUUCAGUGAACCCCCUCCCCUUCUAAACUUAAUUUGGAAAAACUUCAUUUACCAAUAUGGAUUUAUGUAAAAUCGGUGUCAAAUAAACAAAAAUUGCAGCAAUUUUCACCCCCAACCAACAAAUUAUUCGAUUUUUUUUUUAUCUUACAUUGAUCUUUUGAUUUUGUCCGUAAGGGCUACCAUUUUAUUUUGAUUUAUGUGGGGGACUUGAAUGGAACAUUUUGUCCUGCAUUUUUUUAGUUGUAAUCUCUUUCCCGUCUUUUUAAUUUUCAGUCUAUUCAGUCCUGCCUUUUUUAUUAGUUUACGGUAACCGUACUUAACUACACAAAUAACCAAAGAUUACAUACUGACGACAUUGCUCGAUUUUUUUCUAGUAUUAAAAUGGGUCUGUGUUAUAAACUUUUAUGUACACUUUUAAUAUUCUUUCGCAAGUUUUAGGUAUUCGACAUAGGAUAGUGUGAAUUAUUUUCCUGAU